rnacentral:rRNA from 1 species
UACGUAGGGAGCGAGCGUUGUCCGGAUUCAUUGGGCGUAAAGAGCUCGUAGGCGGCUUGGCAAGUCGGGUGUGAAAACUCCAGGCUCAACCUGGAGACGCCACCCGAUACUGCCAUGGCUAGAGUCCGGUAGGGGACCACGGAAUUCCUGGUGUAGCGGUGAAAUGCGCAGAUUUCAGGAGGAACCCCGGUGGCGAAGGCGGUGGUCUGGGCCGGGACUGACGCUGAGGAGCGAAAGCGUGGGGAGCGAACAGG